GACGAACGCUGGCGGCGUGCUUAACACAUGCAAGUCGAACGGUAAGGCCCUUCGGGGUACACGAGUAGCGAACGGGUGAGUAACACGUGGGUGAUCUGCCCUGCACUUCGGGAUAAGCCUGGGAAACUGGGUCUAAUACCGGAUAGGACUCCUGGCUUCAUGGUUGGGGGUGGAAAGCUUUUGCGGUGUGGGAUGGGCCCGCGGCCUAUCAGCUUGUUGGUGGGGUAAUGGCCUACCAAGGCGACGACGGGUAGCCGGCCUGAGAGGGUGAGCGGUCACACUGGGACUGAGAUAUGGCCCAGAGUCGUACGGGAGGCAGCGGUGGGGAAUAUUGCACAAUGGGCGCAAGCCUGAUGCAGCGACGCCGCGUGAGGGAUGACGGCCUUCGGGUUGUAAACCUCUUUCAGCUAUGACGAAGCGCAAGUGACGGUAGUAGCAGAAGAAGGACCGGCCAACUACGUGCCAGCCGCCGCGGUAA
rnacentral:rRNA from 1 species